rnacentral:rRNA from 1 species
UACGUAGGGUGCAAGCGUUGUCCGGAAUUAUUGGGCGUAAAGAGCUCGUAGGCGGUCUGUCGCGUCUGCUGUGAAAACUCAGGGCUUAACCCUGAGCUUGCAGUGGGUACGGGCAGACUAGAGUGCGGUAGGGGAGACUGGAAUUCCUGGUGUAGCGGUGAAAUGCGCAGAUAUCAGGAGGAACACCGAUGGCGAAGGCAGGUCUCUGGGCAUUAACUGACGCUGAGGAGCGAAAGCAUGGGGAGCGAACAGG